rnacentral:rRNA from 1 species
CCCUACGGGGGGCAGCAGUGGGGAAUAUUGCACAAUGGGGGAAACCCUGAUGCAGCGACGCCGCGUGAGUGAAGAAGUAUCUCGGUAUGUAAAGCUCUAUCAGCAGGAAAGAUAAUGACGGUACCUGACUAAGAAGCCCCGGCUAACUACGUGCCAGCAGCCGCGGUAAUACGUAGGGGGCAAGCGUUAUCCGGAUUUACUGGGUGUAAAGGGAGCGUAGACGGCAGCGCAAGUCUGGAGUGAAAUGCCGGGGCUCAACCCCGGAACUGCUUUGGAAACUGUGAGGCUCGAGGGCGGGAGAGGGG